CCUACAACCCGGUGAAGCCACAUAAGGUGGACGAACAGUCCAUCAUCUUCCAUCGGGGAGAGAAGACCCCGUGGAGUUUUACUGCAGCUUGUGCUUGUAGUAUAGUACGAAUUACAUAGUGUAUCUGGUAGCCAUGCCUGAAUUUCUUUGGGAAUUCAGUGAAGCAACGAUGUAACACCAGAUUAUUCUUGCAGUACUUCUUAUCUGGUGCAGACCAGAAACAGGUGCAGGUGGGCAGUUCGGCUGGGGCGGCACCCCUCAGAAAAGAUAUCUGAGGGGCCCAAAGUUUAGUUCAAACGGGUCAGAAAUCCGUUUAAGAGGGCAAAGCCAAAAACUAGACUGACAGGAUUUCCAAACGCACGGAAUUCUGAGACGAAAGUCUGGCUUAGCGAUCCUUCGUGUGCCCACUAUUGGGGCCCGGAGGUGACAGAAAAAUUACCCCAGGGAUAACAGGCUCGUCGCGGGCGAGAGCUCCUAUCGACCCCGCGGUUUGGUACCUCGAUGUCGGCUUUUCCUAUCCUGGUCCUGCAGCAGGGGCCAAGGGUGAGGCUGCUCGCCUAUUAAAAGGGAACAUGAGCUGGGUUUAGACCGUCGUGAGACAGGUUAGUUUUACCCUACUGAUGAACUUGAUGCUGCGACAGUAAUCGAAGUUAGUACGAGAGGAACACUUCGUUCAGAUACUUGGUAAAUGUGGCUAGCUGAGAAGCUAAUACUGCGAAGCUACCAUCUGUUGGAUUACGACUGAACGCCUCUAAGUCGGAAUCCUGGCUGACUAAGCAAUGCUGUAUACCGCUUCAACCGUUACGUGAGAAGAAAUAGACAUGUUCUGAUUUCAUCGGUUGGUUAAUAUUCGCCA
rnacentral:rRNA from 1 species